rnacentral:rRNA from 1 species
CCUACGGGAGGCAGCAGUGGGGAAUAUUGGGCAAUGGAGGAAACUCUGACCCAGCGACGCCGCGUGCGGGAUGAAGGCCUUCGGGUUGUAAACCGCUUUCAGUAGGGAAGAAGCGAAAGUGACGGUACCUACAGAAGAAGCACCGGCUAACUAUGUGCCAGCAGCCGCGGUAAUACAUAGGGUGCAAGCGUUGUCCGGAAUUAUUGGGCGUAAAGAGCUCGUAGGUGGUUUGAUACGUCGGGUGUGAAAUUCAGGGGCUCAACCCCUGACCUGCAUUCGAUACGGUCAAGCUGGAGUUUGGUAGGGGAGACUGGAAUUCCUGGUGUAGCGGUGGAAUGCGCAGAUAUCAGGAGGAACACCGAUGGCGAAGGCAGGUCUCUGGGCCAAUACUGACACUGAGGAGCGAAAGCGUGGGGAGCGAACAGGAUUAGAUACCCUGGUAGUCCACGCCGUAAACGAUGGGCGCUAGUUGUGCGAACCUUCCACGGUUUGUGCGACGCAGCUAACGCAUUAAGCGCCCCGCCUGGGGAGUACGAUCGCAAGAUUAAAACUCAAAGGAAUUGACGG